rnacentral:rRNA from 1 species
UACGUAGGGUGCAAGCGUUAAUCGGAAUUACUGGGCGUAAAGCGUGCGCAGGCGGCUUUGCAAGACAGAUGUGAAAUCCCCGGGCUCAACCUGGGAACUGCAUUUGUGACUGCAAGGCUAGAGUACGGUAGAAGGGGAUGGAAUUCCGCGUGUAGCAGUGAAAUGCGUAGAUAUGCGGAGGAACACCGAUGGCGAAGGCAAUCCCCUGGACCUGUACUGACGCUCAUGCACGAAAGCGUGGGGAGCAAACAGG